GCUGGUACCUGAGCUGUCUGUGCUCAUAGCCUUGAAAUGGAUGGGUGUAGUAUCCGCUGAGGGAAUACCCCUGCCGCGGAUUCAUUGCGCCCGCGAGGCAUUGCCCGGCCCGACCCGCCGGCGGCACGACCCUGGCCCGACCGCUGGGCCGCGCCAGCCCCUCGAGGCCCCCACGCCUCCGCUACUCCGCACUGGAAGUGGCCCCGGGGCGUCGGCACGGGAAACUCCGCGGGUCUGCGCGCCGGGCCCAAGAUGGCUCCGGUUCAA
rnacentral:lncRNA from 1 species